rnacentral:rRNA from 1 species
UACAGGGGGGGGCAAGCGUUGUUCGGAAUUACUGGGCGUAAAGGGUCUGUAGGUGGCCAACUAAGUCAUACGUGAAAUCCCCCGGCUUAACCGGGGAACUGCGUCUGAUACUGGAUGGCUUGAGUUCGGGAGAGGGAUGCGGAAUUCCAGGUGUAGCGGUGAAAUGCGUAGAUAUCUGGAGGAACACCGGUGGCGAAGGCGGCAUCCUGGACCGAUACUGACGCUGAGGAGCGAAAGCCAGGGGAGCAAAGCGGG